rnacentral:rRNA from 1 species
GACGAACGCUGGCGGCGUGCUUAACACAUGCAAGUCGAGCGGUAAGGCCCUUUCGGGGGUACACGAGCGGCGAACGGGUGAGUAACACGUGGGUGACCUGCCCUCAGCUCUGGGAUAAGCCUGGGAAACCGGGUCUAAUACCGGAUAUGACUCCAUGACGCAUGUUGUGGGGUGGAAAGCCUUGUGCGGCUGAGGAUGGGCCCGCGGCCUAUCAGCUUGUUGGUGGGGUGAUGGCCUACCAAGGCGACGACGGGUAGCCGGCCUGAGAGGGCGACCGGCCACACUGGGACUGAGACACGGCCCAGACUCCUACGGGAGGCAGCAGUGGGGAAUCUUGCGCAAUGGGCGAAAGCCUGACGCAGCGACGCCGCGUGAGGGNU